rnacentral:tmRNA from 1 species
CCUCUUUAAGCGGGCUUGGCAAGGUAUUAUAUAGGGAGUGCCGGAGCGAUCCGGCUAUGGCGAUAAACGCAGUUCGGAAUAGGCGUUGCGGACCCGGGGGCAGAGCCCGGCGCCUCCACCAAAUUCCCCUGAAGGGGGCUGAGGGGGCGAAUCAGGAUCGACGUGCGUAAUAAAGGGACGUGCUUUCGCUCGGCAUGGUAUCCGCCGUUAUCGGGCCAAACCUUAGAAGUGCCAACGAUAACCGUGAGGCCUUCGCUGCCGCUGCCUAAUCAGCAGCUGUAAGCGCGGCUGGUGAGAGCCGGGCAACAGAAUCUCACCGAAA